rnacentral:rRNA from 1 species
UACGGAAGGCAGCAGUGGGGAAUAUUGCACAAUGGGCGCAAGCCUGAUGCAGCCAUGCCGCGUGUAUGAAGAAGGCCUUCGGGUUGUAAAGUACUUUCAGUCGUGAGGAAGGUGUUAAGGUUAAUAACCUUAGCAAUUGACGUUAGCGACAGAAGAAGCACCGGCUAACUCCGUGCCAGCAGCCGCGGUAAUACGGAGGGUGCGAGCGUUAAUCGGAAUUACUGGGCGUAAAGGGCACGCAGGCGGUUAAUUAAGUUGGAUGUGAAAUCCCCGGGCUUAACCUGGGAAUGGCAUUCAAGCUGGUUAGCUAGAGUCUUGUAGAGGGGGUAGAAUUCCAUGUGUAGCGGUGAAAUGCGUAGAGAUGUGGAGGAAUACCGGUGGCGAAGGCGGCCCCUGGGACAAAGACUGACGCUCAUGUGCGAAAGCGUGGGGAGCGAAACAGGGAUUAGAUACC